GCACAGGUGGGUGGGGGAGGAAGGCAAGUGUUGUCCAGGUGUUCUCAGUCUUGCUACAGAUAAGAGGAUUCCAGACAUACCGCAAUACAUCGAAUAUCCUCAUUCUCCCGCCUUCUGCCCUCCCUCCUGCACUCCCCCAGCCCCAGGAAAUGUCUUUCUUGGGGGAAGAACAUACUUGUGGGGAUACUAAAAGCCAAAUCCACCUCUUCUCCCUUGUGUGUCUUCAAAGCCUUCUUGCUCACAAAUUCAGCUUAGUAAACACCAUCUAACAAAACCCCACUCCAGUAAUUUAAGAAAUUGCUGCUUCAUCUCGAAGAAAAAUGUACAAGAGAACAACCAGGAAGACUCAUGCAAAUCCCGUUGCUCAUUACAGCCUACACAGCUAUGAAGCCUACUGCUCUCCAUGACUCCCUCAGGAUUCAAGUUAGCAACAUGUCUAGCCAAAAGAACAUAUGAGACCUGCUGUACAUCUGUGAACUAAAUUAUACUUGUCUGGAGAGACUGAAUUGUGCUGAAUAUUGGAGGGACCAUAUGUGAACUUAUCAAUGGCAGGGCAUACACCACAGGAUCUGACACUGCACCAGACCUGCUGCUCGGGCACUGUUAAUUCAUGGAGAAGUGUGAAUCCAGUGUGUCCAGGAUGCAUUGAAUUUCCUGCAUCUGCUUAACUCAGCUGUGUUUGAGCAGUAAACCAGAGGCUGGUCACCGGUGAGUUUAUAAAAGCAUUUAACAGCUCUAAAUCUGAUCUCUGAUGUACCUUCACACUUCACUUCAUAUGUGUAUAUGAAACACCUCAGUAAAAUCAGUGAGCCAUACCCACGCAUAAAGUUUCACUUGUGGCUUGGGGUCAAUAGGAACAUGUGGGUGUGUUACAUUUCCUCUGAAAAUGUUUCUUGGAUAAGCUCUCCAAGGAUUUUUAGGAAGGAUGAGCUGUCUUUUUUUCCUGGAUCCUAGCCCAGGAUCAUGACAAGAUGGGUGGUGACAUACUUUGCCAUGCCAUGAAUGGUUGUUUUCUGGGUACAUGGUAAGGCAUAAGCUCUGUGUGCCAGAGGAAGGAGUGUGAAAUUUGAAGUGCUCUUACUGAAUGGAAAUGUUUCCAUGACUUAGGUAAUUUGGUUUCAUUUUAGCCUUUUGAGAAUUCAAUUUAUUUUUUUUUAUUAUGGCCCUAAAUUAUUUCAUUCAACGUAGGUGUCACUAAAAGAAUCAGAUCUAAUAUCACUGAAACAACAAUCCAGUUUCUCUAGCCCCUUUCCAGAAUACUGAGAUCAUACCUGGAUAUGCUUUGAUUAAUAAAAGAAGGAGACAGUCAUGUUUAUAUCCCCCCUCCAUAUCUCAUGUUUUUACAUCAGUUGGAAGUACUGGAAGUUCCAAUUGUUUACUUCCAGGUUACUCAGCUCAUGAAUUUAGAAAAUGAGGAUCCUUUUUUUUGAGAGUUGAUCUGCCUAUGAACCAGGCAUCAUAGUCCUUGGGUCAGAAGUCAGCUGGGAAUAAUGGGGAGAGCUCAUACAGGUUCCAAUUCAACCCAGGAGAUUGGUACCAGAAAGAGAGGCAGCACAAUAUCCACAGGCUGUAGCACAAUGAUUUCAUUGAUGUCUUUGAGCACUGUUUCUUCCAUGGAUUACAGACUUGAUCUAGUGCAAAAGCCAAUUUGCUUAAUGUAUUUUAUGGGCAGAACAGAACCAGCCUUUCUUGAGGGAGGAAAAAAAAUCAAUUCUUCCUAUCCUUGGUGGUUUCCUCAUCUCUGCAUGCCCGCCAAGUGGGGAUAGGGUGAACACCGUGGCCUUACAAGUCACAGGUUAACACCAAACAGACUGGACUUUGUACACAGAGAUAUUUCUAUUUACUGUAAAUUAUUUUAGAGGGUUGAGGGUGGCUUUGGCUGUGCAAAGAUUACUUGUGUGCCCAGGU